CGUAAUCUACCCUGUAGACCCGAGUUUUUGUUGCCUUUUUUAUCAACUCAGAAGCUCGUCUCUACAGGUAUCUUACGG
rfam:Asian citrus Psyllid, Diaphorina citri - Florida Strain, whole genome shotgun sequence.